rnacentral:rRNA from 1 species
AUUGAACGCUGGCGGAAUGCUUUACACAUGCAAGUCGAGCGGCGGCGCGGGGCAACCUGGCGGCGAGCGGCGAACGGGUGAGUAAUACAUCGGAACGUACCCAGUUGUGGGGGAUAGCCCGGCGAAAGCCGGAUUAAUACCGCAUACGACCUGAGGGUGAAAGGGGGGGAUCGCAAGACCUCUCGCAGUUGGAGCGGCCGAUGGCGGAUUAGUUAGUUGGUGAGGUAAAGGCUCACCAAGGCGACGAUCCGUAGCGGGACUGAGAGGACGACCCGCCAAACUGGAACUGAGACACGGUCCAGACUUCUAGGGGAGGAGGCAGGAGGAAAUUUUGGGCAAGGGGGGAAACCCUGAUCCAGACAUUCCGCGUGAGUGAAGAAGGCCUUCGGGUUGUAAAGCUCUUUCGGCAGGAACGAAACGGUGGAAGCUAAUAUCUUUUACUAAUGACGGUACCUGAAGAAGAAGCACCGGCUAACUACGUGCCAGCCGCCGCCGUAA